rnacentral:lncRNA from 1 species
AGUUGAGAAUCAUGGCUGCGGGAAAAUUUGCAAGCCUUCCGAGAAACAUGGUUGUGAAUCACCAGUUCCCCUUGGCCUCGUCCAUGGACCUUCUGAGCAGCAGGUCCCCUCUGGCUGAACAUCGCGCAGAUACCUAUCAAGACGUGUCUAUACACGGCACUCUUCCACGGAAGAAAAAAGGCCCUCCUCCCAUUCGGUCCUGCGACAAUGUCAGUCACAUGGGCACCCUCCCCCACUCCAAAUCCCCACGACAGAGCUCACCUCUGACCCAGGACAUCAUCCAGGAAAACCCACUGCAAGACUGGAAAGGGGAAACCUUCACCUUCAGGGAUCCUUAUCUUCUGGACCCAACUCUGGAAUAUGUGAAGGUAGGAAAGCGGGGCUUAACAUGGACUUAUCACUCUGGGUAACGGUAUGCCAAAUGUGCCUGCAGGAUGGUUGUGUUGAGAGCUGGCAAUAUUACCUGCCUGAAACAGCCAGAAGAAGUUUGGCUCUCACUGGCCUUAUGUGAGCUUGGCAAGGCUCUCUAUCAUCCUGUUAAGUCUAUGGUCUUUCACUCAUGGGACCCAGAUAUGUUUUAAAAUUUGUAGUCGUGGGUUUGUUUUUGUUUUGUAAGUUCUAGCUUACACUCAGGAAGACCUCCAAAGAGGUCUGGAGUCAGCAACGUAUAAUCAAACUCAUUAUUGUGGCACUGACACAUAAUAUUCACACUGGAUAAACAGCUCACAGAGGACUUUAUGUGUCCAGAUCAUAUUUUGCUACCCAGUGAAGUCAUUCUGUUUUGUCAUUGAGUGAAUUCUCUUUCUUUUUAUUUUCCUCUCAGAUUUGGGGGAACUUUGGCAGGGCGUAGAAGAGGCAUUGUGGAUAAAGCUUUAUCUUGGGUGGGAGGAUGAAGGCCCUGGGGUUUUAAGAGCUGGCUUUUCCUCUUCAAUAAUCCCCUCAGUAACUAACUUGGGCCCAAGCAGUAAACCUGCCCCUCAGAGGGGCUCACAUUUAAUGCUGCUUAGCUGCCCAGCCAUUCUCAAGGUCUGUCUGUCCUUUCUGCCCUCCUCCCACUUCAGGUAGAUUUUACUUUUAACCCAUAAUUAAAUCAGGCACUUCUUACAGAAGAGAGGCAUGAUCACAUUGAGAUUUGUGACAAUGGCUCUUGCUGUUGGACUCCAUGGCAUGAGUUAGGUUAUAUGAUCUCUCCUGAGGACCCAUGGCCGAUCUUCUCUACUCUGUGUUCAGAGCACACAGGCCUGUGGCUCCUAUAGGUCUGGCAUUCCCUCCUUUUUGGCCAGAGCAGAGGGUAGACGGGAGCAGAGAAAGUUCCAGUCAGACUGCCUGCUCAUGUUGAAUAGGCCAGAAUUACUUCUUCCCCUUUUCAUUUUUUCUCUUGUGUAGCCUUCGUCUCCUGGAACUGGCUCUGUAGGCCAGGCUGGCCUUGAACUCAUAGUGAUCCUCUUUCUUCUGCCUCCUGAGUGCUGGGAUUAAAGGCAUGUGGCACACCAUCGGCCCUCUUCCCUUUCCUUAAUUCUGAAUAACGUGUGAACCAUCGGGACUGUGGCAAGUGUGUGAGCCGCAGCCAGCAGGGUCAGAGGUUUAGAAACGGUGUGUCUGCACCCCUCCAGUAUGCAACACAUCUGUUUUCAUACAGGUCAUGCAUCUCUAAGCCUUGAUAGUACCCCCCCCAUAGAGUGUGUUUUGACUUGACGGUAGCAAGAAGACAGUGUGAGACAGAACAGCAGUUCAGCUUUCAGAAGUCACUCCACUCCAUGGUUCAGAGGUUGGCUGUCUCCCACCAGAGGCUCAGACCCUCUGUGUUCACCAAGUGUAACCCUGAUCCUUGCUCUAGAAACUCAUUUCCCUCUUUUACAAAACUCUAAACCUCUUUUCUAAGACUUCCGUGGUGAAUCUGCUAACAAUAGGCCAUUUUAGAACGGUCUGUUUUAAUGCAAUAGCCCUCACUUCUCUGUGGUUGUAUCUACCUACAACCAACCAGUAAUCAAAAACACUAGGUCAAAACUUCCAGAAGUAAGCAGUUCAUUCCCUUUAAAUCGUGCCUGUUUCUGAGUAGCAUCUUGAAAUCUUGCUGUGUCCUGCUCAUCCUUUUGAUGUAGCCACACUGUAUGGGCUGCUGUUCCAUCCGUGACAAGGAGUCCAUUGGUUGUCACAGUAUUGCAGGGCUUGUGUUCACGUGACCCUCAUUUUACUCAUAGGUUCCAAAGCACAGGCAAGAGAUGGGACGGGAGCUCUAGUGUGUCAGACAUGCAAGGAUGGACUGACUGUUUCUGUGUGGCAGCCCUGCAGGGCACAUAGGAUAAGGCAUAGUGUGGAGUCUAUAGACUGUCACUAUCUGUGAUUUCAGCCAUCCACUGAGGGGCUUGGAAUAUAUCCCUGAGGAUAAGGGAAGGACUAUCGUAUUAUCUGAGUUAUUGCAACUUAUUCAUGAAUGUCAGUCCAAGUAAGCUGAACGGUGUUAGCAUAAAGCACGUAGGGAACCUUGGUGGAUUCCAUGGCAGGCGAGGGAGACCAAUGCGGGGGACAAACUCGCCAGGCAGACAGAGCCCAGUAAAAAGUUUUAUUAGAAAGGGAAGGGGAGGAAGGAAAGAGAAAAGGAGGUAAAGAGACGCAGAGACUGAGAGAGGACAGAAGAGAAGAGGGAGACAGGAAAAGUCCUGUCUGCCCCAGGGGAACAGCAGGAAAGAGAGUGAGCAGGAAAGAGAGCAUAAGUGGGCAGGGGUCUUUCUUUUAAAGGGGUCCUUUGUACCUGGGUUGACCAGGAUACUGCCUGAGUACAUUCUGCCAGGUGACAGGGGCAGGCCAGCAUAACGCCUGAAUCCUUACAAAUAGUAUAGACCAAGAAGUGGUGUAGUGAAUUUCAAUGUCUUCCAUUUAUCCUGGCUUUCCCUGCCUUCUCCUGGCAAUGGCAAGGUUGAUAGAACUGCCCUUUGGAGUCUUGGAGAGUCUUACUUGCAAGGAGAUUGUGGGGUUGAGGUGCUGAGCCUCCAUGUGGGUGGAGGAAACCAAACAGUGUCCUCUAGAAGGGCAAUAAAGUGUACUUAACCACUGAGCCAUCUCUCCAGCCCUCAGCCUUUAUUUUCUUUCUUUGCCCUUAUCUACAGCAGUGGUUUUUAACCCUCCUAAUGCAGCAACCCUUUAAUAAAGUUUCUCGUCGAGCAGUGGCGGCACAUGCCUUUAAUCCCAGCACUCAAGAGGCAGAGGCAGGUGGAUCUCUGUGAGUUUGAGGCCAGCUUAGUCUAUAGAGUGAGUUCCAGGACAACCAAGGCUACACAGAGAAACUGUCUUGGGGAAAAAAAAAUACAGUUCCUCAUGUUGUGGUGACUCCCAACCAUAAAAUUAUUUCCGUUGCUGCUUCGUAACUGUAAUUUGCUGCUGUUAUGAAUUGCAAUGUAAAUAUCUGUGUUUUCUGAUGGUCGUAGGCAAUCCCUGUGAAAGGGUCAUUUGACACCUCCAAAUGGGGUCACAACCCACAGGUUGAGAACCACUGGUCUAAAGCAAUGGCUGGGGAGAGGGUUGGGCCAGUGUGGAAUAUUUCAUUGCCUCAGUGGUCCACAAUGACAUUGAGAGAGGCCUCUGAGCACAAGGUCCCAAGGGAGCCUACUUGUCAAUCUUCUUGAGUCAGUUCUGUCCAUCACAGCACCUCUCUGAUGGAAUUGUCCCUCAGAGCCAGGCAGAUGGUGUCAGGGUAACUGGUGCCUGUGACGACUAAAGAGAGACCAAGGCAGAUGAGAGGCGUGGAUAAAGGGAGGUGCAGUUUAGCCCCUUGACUUUUAGCUGCGGCUUCCCUACAGUCUCCUGGUACAUUCAAUGUCUUUGGGGCAUCAAGAAAAAAAUAAAUUUUACAUUUAGUCCAUUGUGCCAUGAAACGCCAUUCUGGUAGGUUCACCAUUGGCCUAAUGAACGAGAGACAAGGGGUCAGAUGUUUCAGGAUUUAAGGUUACCUGAGAACAGGAGUGGUCUUCUCAGUGGACAAACCCCAUCUGAACAGAAGUACCUGACUGUGGCAAGAUGGAGUGUCUCCCUCACUCCUCAGUUACGAAGCUGCCCUAUGCCUCCCGGGCCUGAGGCGCUAAGGCUGUCCCCAUAGCUGGUGCCUGGACUGAAGUGUCAGGACAAGACAGUGCUAGAGGAGACAGAAUCCAGACUUCAGCUCUGCCCAGCUUGAGUUCUGUCCUCGCAUCUGAGGACCUGUAUUUGCAGCACAGUAAUAUGGCUGCAACAGAAGAGACUGUUGCUUAGUUACCUAAGUUCUUCUCAGGUGGAAUGGAAGGAAAUCACCAGGCUGAGAAGCCCCAGGGUGGUUGGCGGGGUUCUUUGACACUGUCCAUGGGGCUAGCCUCCUGCUGGACCUCCUACUUAGACCUUAAAGGCUGCAUUUGAUAUAUGGAUGAGACAGCAAAAUAAAUAGCAGAUCCAAAGUACCCCACCCCACAGCAGGGAGGAGAGUGGCGUUGGCAUCGCCUUCCUUGCUGAUUUUUGUCUUUCG